AAGACCGUCCGGAGGGUCUAGGACAGGAGCGGGUGGUACUACAUGGCCACAGAGUGCCUUCAGUGCCCCUCCUGAGACAAGAAGGUGGCGGGCUGGUCGCAGGACAUCCUGGAGCAGCUGGACGUUGCUCACCGUGUGGUCCCUAUGGCGACUGGACCAGCGACUGCGGCGGUCCUGAGCGCUCCACGUACCCUGGCAGGUUUCCCGCGUGGGCUUCUCGAAGAUCUCCUCCUGGUCGAAGCCCUUCUUCGACUCCUGCUCUUUGUAGGAGCGGUAGAACACAGACCUG